CGCGCCGCGGACGCGAAGCCGGGUGAGCUAUCCGUGGGCAGGCUGAAGCGGGGGUAAGACCCCGUGGAGGGCCGAACCCACCUAGGUUGAAAACUGGGGGGAUGAGCUGUGGGUAGGGGUGAAAGGCCAAUCAAACUCCGUGAUAGCUGGUUCUCCCCGAAAUGCAUUUAGGUGCAGCGUCGCGUGGUCCCUGGUGGAGGUAGAGCUACUGGAUGGCCGAUGGGCCCUAUGGGUUACUGACGUCAGCCAAACUCCGAAUGCCAUUAGGUGUAGCGUGGCAGUGAGACUGCGGGGGAUAAGCUUCGUAGUCGAGAGGGAAACAGCCCAGAUCAUCAGCUAAGGCCCCUAAGCGUACGCUAAGUGGGAAAGGAUGUGGAGUCGCGGUGACAACCAGGAGGUUGGCUUAGAAGCAGCCAUCCUUGAAAGAGUGCGUAAUAGCUCACUGGUCAAGUGGUUCUGCGCCGACAAUGUAGCGGGGCUCAAGCGUACCGCCGAAGCUGUGGCAACAACACGUGAUGCUGGCGCCAGGAACUGGAGUGCUGGUGUGUUGUUGGGUAGGGGAGCGUCCUGCACGAGGUGAAGCCUGGAGGGAACUUCUGGUGGAUUGUGUGGGAGUGAGAAUGCAGGCAUGAGUAACGAAUCUGCGGUGAGAAUCCGCAGCGCCGAUUGACUAAGGGUUCCAGGGCUAGGUUUAUCCGCCCUGGGUUAGUCGGGUCCUAAGGCGAGGCCGACAGGCGUAGUCGAUGGACAACCAGUUGAUAUUCUGGUACCGCGUUAUGACCGCCCAUGCUGAAGUCAUUGUGCUAACCAAUUUGCUCACGCACCCACGUAACCUUCGGGUUUGUUGGUGUGUGUGGGUCUUGGGGCCCCGGUGAUUGUAGGCAAGCGUGUUAACAGGGGUGACGCAGACAGGUAGCUGCAGUGCGCCGAUGGUUGUGCGUAUUUAAGGUUGUGGCCCGUCUCCUAGGUAAAUCCGGGAGACACUGUGGGUGAGAACUGAUGAGGGACGCACGUGUGUGUGGACUUGUGGUGAUCCUAUGCUGCCGAGAAAAGCCUCGACGCGAGGGGGCAAGGCGCCCGUACCCUAAACCGACUCAGGUGGUCAGGUAGAGUAUACCGAGGCGUUCGAGUGAAUCGUGGUUAAGGAACUCGGCAAAAUUCCUCCGUAACUUCGGGAUAAGGAGGACCCCGUGACUUCCCUCCACCAUUGCGUGGGGGUGGGGUUGUGGGGUCGCAGAGAAUAGGGAGAAGCGACUGUUUAUCAAAAACACAGGUGCGUGCGAAGCCGUAAGGCGAUGUAUACGCACUGACGCCUGCCCGGUGCUGGAAGGUUAAGAGGAACCGUCAACACCCCCAUGGGGUGUGAAGCGGUGAAUUUAAGCCCCAGUAAACGGCGGUGGUAACUAUAACCAUCCUAAGGUAGCGAAAUUCCUUGUCGGGUAAGUUCCGACCUGCACGAAUGG
rnacentral:rRNA from 1 species